rnacentral:ncRNA from 2 species
GUCAUCUCAUAGAGGUGCCAUCGGCAAAGCGUGCCGUGGCUGAGAGCCGUUCGUGGCAACUCUUUGAACCUGAUCCGGAUCGUGCCGGCGGAGGGAAUGGGACAUCGUGGAAA